rnacentral:lncRNA from 1 species
AAAAACUUAUUGAUUCUAGUUCUGGUUUAGGCUUUUUUGCUGGGUAAUUGAUUGUUAGGAUAUCUAAAGAUCUUUAUACGUGGGUAGUUGCUGUGAUUACGAAUAUUGUUUUUGAUUACUAGCUUUGUUUAUUAGGUUUACUUGGUUUGGUUUUGUUCUUGCGUGUUUUGAUAGGGCUCUAGCUAAAACUCGGCAUUCGUUGGUUGUAUGUUCCUUAUCCUUAUGGUAUUCACAGUAUUUCCCAUUGUUUCGAAUUUGUGUGGUUGUUUCGCUCAUUGGUUUGAGGGGUGGUAAAACGUCUUAUAGUUCUAAAAAUUUGUCUCUUUGGUUCUCCUUUGGUUUUGUGGGGGUUGGAAGUGUUUUUAUUUUGGGUUGUGACCGUGUUUCUAAAUUCUUUGAAUUUUUCUUCCAACAUUUCCUCGAUGUCCAUUUCUACAUAUGCCUUUUCGAAAAGAUCGAAUACUUUAGUUAGUGGAUCUUCUGUUAUGUUUACUGCAAAACAGGUUGGUCUGAGGCCGGCUCUAAAAGCCAUGAUAGCGCUGUCUGAUGGGCGUUCAACCCGAUUCAGAGUUUCAGUGAACCUUUUACGUAGUUUCUCAGAGUUUCAUUGGCCUUUUGUUUUACGUUUAAGAGUGCUCCUUGAUGUGUUUUUCUUCUAAUUAAAUGGUUGAAAAUUUCCAGAAAUUUAUGUUUUAAUUCUUCAAAGUUGUUUAUACUGCCGACUGGUAAAUUGAUGUGCCAAUUUAUGGCGUCAUUUUCCAGGGUUCUUCUAAACAUUCUACACCAUAAAUCUUCCCUGUCUGUUACGUCUUCGAUGUUUGCCAUAAAUUUGUAUAUGUGGUCCAUGGGGUCCGAGUUUCCCUUAUAUUGUGACAGUUUGGGCCUUUUCAA